AGGAUGAACGCUAGCGACAGGCUAACACAUGCAAGUCGAGGGGCAGCAUAAAGUAGCAAGUACUUGGUGGCGACCGGCGCACGGGUGAGUAACGCGUAUGCAACCUACCUAUCAGAGGGGAAUAACCCGGCGAAAGUCGGACUAAUACCGCAUAAAACAGGGGCACCGCAUGGUGAUAUUUGUUAAAGAAAUUCGCUGAUAGAUGGGCAUGCGUUCCAUUAGGUAGUUGGUGAGGUAACGGCUCACCAAGCCGACGAUGGAUAGGGGAACUGAGAGGUUGGUCCCCCACACUGGUACUGAGACACGGACCAGACUCCUACGGGAGGCAGCAGUGAGGAAUAUUGGUCAAUGGGCGGGAGCCUGAACCAGCCAAGUCGCGUGAAAGGAAGAAGGAUCUAUGGUUCGUAAACUUCUUUUGCAGGGGAAUAAAGUGCAGGACGUGUCCUGUUUUGUAUGUACCCUGAGAAUAAGGAUCGGCUAACUCCGUGCCAGCCGCUGC
rnacentral:rRNA from 1 species